rnacentral:rRNA from 1 species
UUGAACGCUGGCGGCAUGCUUUACACAUGCAAGUCGAACGGUAACAGGCCUUCGGGUGCUGACGAGUGGCGAACGGGUGAGUAAUGCAUCGGAACGUACCCAGAGGUGGGGGAUAACGCAGCGAAAGCUGUGCUAAUACCGCAUGUGAUCUGAGGAUGAAAGCGGGGGACCGAGCAGCAAUGUUUGGCCUCGCGCCUUUGGAGCGGCCGAUGUCGGAUUAGCUAGUUGGUGGGGUAAAGGCCUACCAAGGCGACGAUCCGUAGCUGGUCUGAGAGGACGACCAGCCACACUGGGACUGAGACACGGCCCAGACUCCUACGGGAGGCAGCAGUGGGGAAUUUUGGACAAUGGGCGCGAGCCUGAUCCAGCAAUGCCGCGUGCGGGAAGAAGGCCUUCGGGUUGUAAACCGCUUUUGGCAGGAACGAAACGGUGUCCGCUAAUACCGGGCGCUAAUGACGGUACCUGCAGAAUAAGCACCGGCUAACUACGUG